rnacentral:rRNA from 1 species
UACGUAGGUGGCAAGCGUUAUCCGGAAUUAUUGGGCGUAAAGCGCGCGCAGGCGGUUUCUUAAGUCUGAUGUGAAAGCCCACGGCUCAACCGUGGAGGGUCAUUGGAAACUGGGGGAACUUGAGUGCAGAAGAGAAAAGCGGAAUUCCACGUGUAGCGGUGAAAUGCGUAGAGAUGAUGGAGGAACACCAGUGGCGAAGGCGGCUUUUUGGUCUGUAACUGACGCUGAGGCGCGAAAAGCGUGGGGAGCAAACAGG